UACGUAGGGGGCAAGCGUUGUCCGGAAUCAUUGGGCGUAAAGAGCGUGUAGGUGGCUCGGUAAGUCCGCUGUGAAAGUCCAGGGCUCAACCCUGGAAAGCCGGUGGAAACUGUCGAGCUCGAGUCCGGAAGAGGCGAGUGGAAUUCCUGGUGUAGCGGUGGAAUGCGUAGAGAUCGGGAAGAACACCCGUGGCGAAGGCGACGUGCUGGGCUGCAUCUGACGCUGAGGUGCGAAAGUGUGGGGAGCAAACGGG
rnacentral:rRNA from 1 species